rnacentral:rRNA from 1 species
UACGGAAGGUGCAAGCGUUAAUCGGAAUCACUGGGCGUAAAGCGCACGUAGGCGGCGUGAUAAGUCGGAUGUGAAAGCCCUCGGCUCAACCGGGGAAUUGCAUUCGAAACUGCCAUGCUUGAGUCCUGGAGAGGGUGGCGGAAUUCCCGGUGUAGGAGUGAAAUCCGUAGAUAUCGGGAGGAACACCAGUGGCGAAGGCGGCCACCUGGACAGGUACUGACGCUGAGGUGCGAAAGUGUGGGUAGCAAAC